UCGGAUAUGGUGUAAUGGUUAACAUCGGUGACUCUCAUCUUGAGUUCUCACCAGCUCGGGGUUCGAUUCCCCGUAUCCGAG